rnacentral:rRNA from 1 species
UACAGAGGUCCCAAGCGUUGUUCGGAUUCACUGGGCGUAAAGGGUGCGUAGGCGGUCGAGUAAGUCUGACGUGAAAUCUCCGGGCCUAACCCGGAAACUGCGUUGGAAACUACUUGGCUAGAGGAAUGGAGGGGAGACUGGAAUACUUGGUGUAGCAGUGAAAUGCGUAGAUAUCAAGUGGAACACCAGUGGCGAAGGCGGCCACCUGGACAGACACUGACGCUGAGACGCGAAAGCGUGGGGAGCAAACAGG